AUAAUGUUUGAGGUCUCGGAAAGAGACUGAAAUCUGACAUUGUGGUAUAAAUGAAAAAUGAAUUGGGUUUAAAGAUGGUGCAUCUAUAAUAUGGAUGUAUCGACCCAAAACUUUUUAUCAACUCUUUAAUAUUUGACUGAAAUUAUCAAGUAAUCGAAAGAUUAAAAAAGUUUUAAA
rnacentral:misc_RNA from 1 species